AUGAUUUGAUGCAGUGGGCAGUUAAGUUUGCUAUAACCGAUGAAGCAUUAGCAUCUUUGUUAAAAUUUUUGGGCAAAUUGUUUCCUGAAUUGCCAAAGGAUCCACAAACUCUACGUCAAAGUCUUUUGUACCUGUUACCAAUAUAACUGGAGGACAGUAUUGUCAUUUUGGCAUUAGACAAGGAGCUGUAAAAAGAAAUCCUGCAACAACUUUAGCAACUGAAUCAGAUUUUCAAUAUGAGGUUGUGCAUUUUUUGUGUGGUGCAUCAGACCGCAAUGGCGGACAAAAAGUUAAACUAGACCAAAAAAACAAACAAGCCAAGAAAAAAGUGAUGCCUACAUCAAGUUUUCCAAUGCCAUUAAAUAAAGAGACAUUUUUUAGUUCAGAAGAUGAAUAACAUUGUUAAAUAAAAUAAGCAUCUUUGUUUACAAUAACCUCUUGUCUAUGAGAUUGUAGAUGAGAAUUUGAAUCGUGAUAUUGAAUCUUACCAGAGAAUAAAGAAACCGUUUACCUCAACCAGAUUUAUAUUUCAUAGAAUUAUGUUGACCAUGGUCCAAAUAUUGCCAUGGGUAUAAGAUAGAUGUUUGAUUUGCAAACUGGAUUUAAAUCAUAUUUUCUUUAAACAUAUU
rnacentral:lncRNA from 1 species